CCAGACUCAGGAAGAAAGAAAUGUGUACAGAAACUGAGAGACACAAAGCAGCUGAAUCCCUGAGGGACGAAGUCAAAGAGGCUUUCAGAGAGAGAGAGGGAGAGAGAGAGAGAGAGAGAGAGAGACAGAGAGAGAGAGACAGACAGAGAGACACACCUUUGUCUUCUCAUGUGGAUCGUCUCUGCAGGAACAUCAAACAUUUCUCCUGAGUAGAGGGGAGGCUAAGAAAAGCCUCUGAAGUCUCGGCUGCUGAACACAGAGGAAGGAGACUCAUGUUCAGGACCUGGAUUCCUCCUCCUCCUCCUCCUCCUCCUCCUCUGCCGGAGCUCAAGCCUCAGCUGUCCGGGCAGAGACCCGCCUGAGCACUGCGACGGGGUUUGCCGGGUUGACGGUGUAGUUCGAGUCAGAGCACAGUCAGAAGUAGCCUCGUGCUGAUGUCCGUGCAGAGACGCGCUGCUGUGUGAAGCAGCGCUGGAGGUAACCGGGUGUGUCGGCCGAAGCUGCUGCUGCUGCGGCUGCUGACCACACGGCGGCGCUGCUGUCUGACGCUGAAGCUGCAUCUGACUCCAGCUCCGGUCUGAGACUGUUCACCUGUCCUCAGGUGAUAAACGUUUAGUCCUCUUCUCCCACAGAUUACAGAUUACACCGCAGCGCGCAUGUCUGUAAUCUGAGAACAGGUAGCCUAGAUCUGUCUGAUGUAGAUCUGUCUGAUGUAGAUCGACUUCAGUUUCUUCUUCUGGAAAUAAACACAGGGAUAACACAAACAUCUGUUGUGCUUUUUGUAUAAAUUCGCAGCGGCGAAACUGAAUCUCGACCUAACGGUUCUCUGAAAAUUAAUA